UAGGGAAUCUUCCGCAAUGGGCGAAAGCCUGACGGAGCAACGCCGCGUGAGUGAUGAAGGUCUUCGGAUCGUAAAACUCUGUUAUUAGGGAAGAACAAAUGUGUAAGUAACUAUGCACGUCUUGACGGUACCUAAUCAGAAAGCCACGGCUAACUACGUGCCAGCAGCCGCGGUAAUACGUAGGUGGCAAGCGUUAUCCGGAAUUAUUGGGCGUAAAGCGCGCGUAGGCGGUUUUUUAAGUCUGAUGUGAAAGCCCACGGCUCAACCGUGGAGGGUCAUUGGAAACUGGAAAACUUGAGUGCAGAAGAGGAAAGUGGAAUUCCAUGUGUAGCGGUGAAAUGCGCAGAGAUAUGAAGGAACACCAGUGGCGAAGGCGACUUUCUGGUCUGUAACUGACGCUGAUGUGCGAAAGCGUGGGGAUCAAACAGG
rnacentral:rRNA from 1 species